UUAAACGUGGAGGUGGGGAGCGUGGCCCAUUGAACCGAAAUCAACCGCGGCGCCGGUGCCAGGCCAGGUGCACCUUGAGGCUAUCGAUCCGAGAGGAGACGGAGCCGGCUCGGGUUCCUGUAAACGAUUUUGGGAAUUCCAUCCAGAAGUGUUUUUUUUUGUUGUUCGAUUGUUAUCAUCACAAUCAAAGAAGCUAAUAGCUCAGUGGGCUUUACCUGCACGAUUGGCUACGUACAUACGAUGGGUGAUGUGGCCAAGACAAGUAUGUGCAAUGGGACUGAUCCAAAGGGCUUCUGCUGCAGACACUGCUCACAACCUGCCUCCCCGCUCGGUGGGCUUCCUGCCGCGUUCGUCCCCCCGCACGCUUCACUCACCAUGCCGUCGGCACACUUGGUGCCGGACUGCACGAGAGCCGGGUCGGGAACGUCGCUGCCCAGGCGGGCGGCCGCCUCACCUCGGGGGAGCCGCAGUCGCACUCCUCGCCGGCGUCCAGCAUCUUGUCCCCGCAGACGGGAGGGCGCAAGGCCUCGUCCGCCUUGGGCACGUUCAGCAAGCAGGUGGCCCCGUUCACCAGCCCCUCCAGGUCGUCCGCGCUGCAGCCACUGAACACCGUCGCCGGUGGCGACCUGGGCGAUGGCGCACCGCAAAGACCCCCCCCCCGUGUUGCCUUUAGCAGACUGUUGGGGCAAGUGCUUUUAGCGAGGAGCACCUAUGAAGACCGGAACGGCACACGAUGGGGCGGUGUGGCAAACAACCACGCCCGACCGCCUUUGUCUCUCCAGUGGCGAUGGUUACACACCUCACCAGGUACUCAUUCGAGGCUGAAUCAACCUAGGAGAGGCCCAGGACCGGUUAAGAUAAUUGUCACUGAUGUUGGCCGUGAGCAGAAAUGGAAUUCUAGCCCGCCGGGUUCAUAGCGCAGCGUGCCAACUACUACACUACCACUCCCCACACAUCCAGCUAAAGUCGUGGAAAGAUAUUAUCUCCCUCGCUGGGUACGCAGGAGGUCGGAGAUGCGACUGCGCGUGUGUGAAAACUGCGCGCGUUAUGAACCCUACAGUGUUUUUGGAUGCAAUGUGCAUUAAUGAUGCUCAAUAAAUGAUUUUAAAGCUCA